rnacentral:rRNA from 1 species
AUUGAACGCUGGCGGCAUGCCUAAUACAUGCAAGUCGAACGAGAGGCGGACGGGUGAGCAAUGUCUGGGAACCUGCCUGAUGGAGGGGGAUAACUACUGGAACCGGUGGCUAAUACCGCUUACCACCAUUUGUGCCCAGACGGGAGUAGCUUGUUGGUGGGGUAACGGCUCACCAUGGCGACGAUCCCUAGCUGGUCUGAGAGGAUGACCAGCCACAAUGGAACUGAGACACGGUCCAGACUCCUACGGUAGGCAGCAGUGGGGAAUAUUGCACAAUGGGCGCAAGCCUGAUGCAGCCAUGCCGCGUGUAUGAAGAAGGCCUUCGGGUUGUAAAGUACUUUCAGCGGGGAGGCGUUACCCGCAGAAGAAGCACCGGCUAACUCCGUGCCAGCAGCCGCGGUAAUUC